CUCAGGCGUUGUUGGGUAGGGGAGCGUUCUGUAAGCCUGUGAAGGUGGCCUGUGAGGGUUGCUGGAGGUAUCAGAAGUGCGAAUGCUGACAUAAGUAACGAUAAAGCGGGUGAAAAGCCCGCUCGCCGGAAGACCAAGGGUUCCUGUCCAACGUUAAUCGGGGCAGGGUGAGUCGACCCCUAAGGCGAGGCCGAAAGGCGUAGUCGAUGGGAAACGGGUUAAUAUUCCCGUACUUGGUGUUACUGCGAAGGGGGGACGGAGAAGGCUAUGUUGGCCGGGCGACGGUUGUCCCGGUUUAAGCGUGUAGGUGUGUGUUCCAGGUAAAUCCGGUUCACUUUAACACUGAGGCGUGACGACGAGGCACUACGGUGCUGAAGCAACAAAUGCCCUGCUUCCAGGAAAAGCCUCUAAGCAUCAGGUAACAUCAAAUCGUACCCCAAACCGACACAGGUGGUCAGGUAGAGAAUACCAAGGCGCUUGAGAGAACUCGGGUGAAGGAACUAGGCAAAAUGGUGCCGUAACUUCGGGAGAAGGCACGCUGACACGUAGGUGAAGUGAUUUACUCAUGGAGCUGAAGUCAGUCGAAGAUACCAGCUGGCUGCAACUGUUUAUUAAAA
rnacentral:rRNA from 1 species